GCGGCAGCGGAAGGUGGGAGCGACGACUGCAAAGCGGCAGCGAUGGGCUCCCGCAACCUUCGGAGCUUGUGCGCGUACUUCAGGGACCGGCACCACGUCACCGUCGCCUCCUGAGUAGUGAGUUCCCCUCUGAUGAGACCACUGGUGUAUUUACUCACCAUCCCCACCUUUUUUUUUUUUUUUUUUUCCCCAACCCGAUGGAAGGAAGUACAUAAUGGAGAGCAAGUUUUUAAAGCACGGUCGUGUCGUGUGAACUUGCUCUAGCCAAAUUAGGUUUAUAGCACUUUUUCUGGCUCUCAUUCCCCCCAGUCCCCACAUAAACAAGAGUGACCAGCUGGGUCAUCCACAAGACCGUUUGAAAUUAUUGUGGCUUGGGUGGAAACUUAAAGGAGUGAAGUAUCUACUUUCCAGAAAAAUCGUUGUCGUUCAAAGUGAAAUUAAACUUGUUUUCUUUGCAAUAA
rnacentral:antisense_RNA from 1 species